GGGCCCGCACAAGCGGUGGAGCAUGUGGUUUAAUUCGAUGAUACGCGAGGAACCUUACCAAGGCUUAAAUGUAGAGGGACAGGCGGCGAAAGUUGCCCUUCUUCGGACUCUCUACAAGGUGCUGCAUGGUUGUCGUCAGCUCGUGCCGUGAGGUGUCGGGUUAAGUCCCAUAACGAGCGCAACCCCUAUCUUUAGUUGCCAGCGGUUCGGCCGGGGACUCUAAAGAAACUGCCCGCGCAAGCGGUGAGGAAGGUGGGGAUGACGUCAAAUCAUCACGGCCCUUACGUCUUGGGCUACACACGUGCUACAAUGGUAGUGACAAUGGGCAGCCACUCCGCGAGGAGGCGCAAAUCCACAAAACCGGUCGUAGUCCGGAUUGGGGUCUGCAACUCGACCCCAUG
rnacentral:rRNA from 1 species